UAAUCAGCCCUCCCCUCCCCUAGUGAGGAUAAAAAGAAAUCUUAUUAUUAUUUUGUUACUUGUAUUUUUGGGUCAGAAUUAUGACCUCUUAUCCUCAUUUUUUUUGAAUCAAACCCAGCCACAUUUUGUUCCCUAGCUUCCCAUGCGCAUAGCAAAGGACCACUCAAGAAAACAGAUUGGUAAUCUUUGAUUCAAAAUCACACUUAGCUCCCUGCAUGCUCUCCCUCACAACCGUAAGCUCUCCUAGAUGAACACCACAAAAAAAUACGUGCAUCCUUUUCCACAUCAUAUCCCCCACAAACCGUGAGUGCCCUAAGGAGGUACCAAAACACCAAGCAUACUCAUCCUCUCCUUUCUAGUUCAGUCGUGUAACAAUAAGCAAGGAGGUUGAAGCCCUAGCUCGACAUCCUUUCCCCUCCUCUUGUGCGCACAACUCACUUCAAGUAGGAGAAGGUAAGGUAUUUUUCGCUGCCUUCUUGUUCCCUCCUACUUGGACCGAUUUCUGAGUAAGCUUUUCCCUUAUUGGAACAUGGUUCUGCCUUGAUGGAGUCGCUCCUCCCAUUGCAUGCAGCUGGUUUUGAUUCUUAGAACAUUAAAAAGUGAGGUUGCUGCCCUCCACCCGUAUAGCUAACCCUUUGAGGCUUGGAGGAAGGUCCGUGAAACUCUAGGAAAGUGGGCUGAAAUGGUGAUGUUGAUUUAUAAGUUAAAGCUCCAAGGAGGACGAAGAAAUAUUUGAUAAAGUAUGUCCUUGGAAGUAUUUUGUUGAUGUUCUUCUGUUUGGGAAUUACUGCUAUUAUUCGCCGUUUCUGUUGGACGUGUAUUGAAUAUUCAACCUUGAUGUAGCACUUUGAAGAAUGGCAUGUUAUGAUUUAUAUUCUGUUUUGAAAAGGGUUGUAGGAUAAUUUUUAUAUUUCUUCUGAAACUUACGUUAUUCUAGUCUUUAAAUUGUCAAAACAAUUUCUGUUGUAAUUGGAUUCGGAUUUUUGAACUGAUUUAGCGAGCACCUUGCGAGUUCUAUUUCUGGGGCUACAGAUCUCCGAAUGA